rnacentral:rRNA from 1 species
AGUGAACGCUGGCGGUAGGCCUAACACAUGCAAGUCGAACGGCAGCACAGUAAGAGCUUGCUCUUACGGGUGGCGAGUGGCGGACGUGUGAGGAAUACAUCGGAAUCUACUUUUUCGUGGGGGAUAACGUAGGGAAACUUACGCUAAUACCGCAUACGACCUACGGGUGAAAGCAGGGGAUCUUCGGACCUUGCGCGAUUGAAUGAGCCGAUGUCGGAUUAGCUAGUUGGCGGGGUAAAGGCCCACCAAGGCGACGAUCCGUAGCUGGUCUGAGAGGAUGAUCAGCCACACUGGAACUGAGACACGGUCCAGACUACUACGGGAGGCAGCAGUGGGGAAUAUUGGACAAUGGGCGCAAGCAUGAUCCAGCCAUACCGCGUGGGUGAAGAAGGCCUUCGGGUUGUAAAGACCUUUUGUUGGGAAAGAAAAGCAGCAGGUUAAUACCCAGCUGUUCUGACGGUACCCAAAGAAUAAGCACCGGCUAACUUCGUG